GCAGUAGCCGCGGGAAUACGUAGGGUGCAAGCGUUAAUCGGAAUUACUGGGCGUAAAGCGUGCGCAGGCGGUUAUAUAAGACAGAUGUGAAAUCCCCGGGCUCAACCUGGGAACUGCAUUUGUGACUGUAUAGCUAGAGUACGGCAGAGGGGGAUGGAAUUCCGCGUGUAGCAGUGAAAUGCGUAGAUAUGCGGAGGAACACCGAUGGCGAAGGCAAUCCCCUGGGCCUGUACUGACGCUCAUGCACGAAAGCGUGGGGAGCAAACAGGAUUAGAUACCCCUGUAGUCCCUGUCUCUUAUAU
rnacentral:rRNA from 1 species